AUGAUUGGCCUCAGGGCCUUAUCGAUUAUUAAUCCCAACACCUCUGUGAACCGUUUUUCGGCCCUCGGGCUGAUCUUUUUACAAUACAAACAUUGUGUAAUGAGCGUCUUGUUAUCUUAACAAAAACAAACCUUUCAACAACGGAUCUCUUGGCUCUCGCAUCGAUGAAGAACGCAGCGAAAUGCGAUAAGUAAUGUGAAUUGCAGAAUUCAGUGAAUCAUCGAAUCUUUGAACGCACCUUGCGCCUUUUGGUAUUCCAAAAGGCAUGCCUGUUUGAGUGUCAUGAAAUAUCAAUCCCCUCGGGUUUUCUGAUCUGGGGUGGACUUGGACUUGGGUGUCUGCCGGUCACUCGGCUGGCUCACCUCAAAAGACUUAGUGGGAUUAGCAUCCACGGCCCGACGUAAUAAGUUUCGUCUGGCCAGGUGCAAGGCCUGCUCAUAACCCCUUGCCCACCUGGGCGUUAACACUUUUGGACUCUGACCUCAAAUCAGGUAGGGCUACCCGCUGAACUUAAGCAUAUCAAUAAGCGGAGGAAUCGGCUACUUGGUCAUUUAGAGGAAGUAAAAGUCGUAACAAGGUUUCCGUAGGUGAACCUGCGGAAGGAUCAUUACCCUUCCGGUCUUCGAGACCGCGUCUUCAACUCGCCGCAGGACCCCACGAAAGUGGCCAGAAAUGCGGACGAGGCGAAGUAACCCUUGACUAUGAGUACCUUUUGUUCCCUCGGCGGGCUCGCGCCCGUCGCUGGGCCCAUCCAAACCCCUUUGCAGUAGCAGUAUACCUCUGAUCGUGGGCACUUGAAUCUUUA
rnacentral:misc_RNA from 1 species